UAUAAACUAAGCGUAAUCUUUAAUUGGGCAUUCGACGAUCGAGGUGAGAGGGUAUCAGUGGAUACGGUUUUAAGGAAAGGAGCUUGUUAAUUAGAAGAAUAGUUUUGUUUCGGCGAAUUAAACCCUCUCCAACUCAACGAUAUCGCACACAACAGCCAAUCAGCAGUACUACGCGAAAGAGAUUGCAAGAUGAAGUUUGGCUUCAGUUUAAAGGCAGUCGGCAUCACAUUGUUGGCUGUGAUCAUCGCAAUGGCCUUCGCUGACAACCCCCGACAGGUAAAGAAAAAGCCAACGUACCGAGGAUGGACUAAAAUGACAGAGAGCCGGUGUAAG